UACGUAGGCAGCGAGCGUUGUUCGGAGUUACUGGGCGUAAAGGGUGUGUAGGCGGUUGUUUAAGUUUGGUGUGAAAUCUCCCGGCUCAACUGGGGAGGGUGCGCCGAAUACUGAAUGACUUCGAGUGCGGGAGAGGAGAGUGGGAAUUCCUGGUGUAGCGGUGAAAUGCGUAGAUAUCAGGAGGAACACCGGUGGUGUAGACGGCUCUCUGGGCACCG
rnacentral:rRNA from 1 species